rnacentral:rRNA from 1 species
GGCAUACGGCUCAGUAACGCGUAGUCAACCUAACCUAUGGACGGGAAUAACCUCGGGAAACUGAGAAUAAUGCCCGAUAGAUCAUUAUGCCUGGAAUGGUUUAUGUUCCAAAUGAUUUAUCGCCGUAGGAUGGGACUGCGGCCUAUCAGUUUGUUGGUGAGGUAAUGGCCCACCAAGACUAUUACAGGUACGGGCUCUGAGAGGAGUAGCCCGGAGAUGGGUACUGAGACACGGACCCAGGCCCUAUGGGGCGCAGCAAGCGAGAAAACUUUGCAAUGUGCGAAAGCACGACAAGGUUAAUCCGAGUGAUUUCUGCUAAAGAAAUCUUUUGUUAGUCCUAAAAACACUAACGAAUAAGGGGUGGGCAAGUUCUGGUGUCAGCCGCCGCGGUAAAACCAGCACCUCAAGUGGUCAGGAUGAUUAUUGGGCCUAAAGCAUCCGUAGCCGGCUUUGUAAGUUUUCGGUUAAAUCCAUGUGCUUAACGCAUGGGCUGCCGAAAAUACUGCAUGGCUAGGGAGUGGGAGAGGUAGACGGUACUCAGUAGGAAGGGGUAAAAUCCUUUGAUCUAUUGAUGACCACCUG